rnacentral:SRP_RNA from 1 species
GCCGGGUGCGGUGGCUCGCGCCUGUAAUCCAAGCUACUGGGAGGCUGAGGCUGGCGGAGCGUUUGAGCUCAGGAGCUCUGAGCUGCAGCGGACUAUGCCGAUCGGGUGUCCGCACUAAGUUCGGUAUCGAUAUGGUGCUCCUGGGGGAGCCCGGGACCACCAGGUCGCCUAAGGAGGGGUGCACCGGUCCAGGUCGGAAACGGAGCAGGUCAAAGCCCCCGUGCCGCUCAGUAGUGGGAUCGCGCCUGUGAAUAGACGCUGUAGUGCAGCCUGAGUAAUACAGCGGGACCCAGUCUUU